rnacentral:tRNA from 1 species
GUCUCCAUAGCACAAUCGGUUAGUGCAUUCAGCUGUUAACCGUAAAGGUUUGUGGUUUGAGCCCACCCAGGGACG